CUACGGGCUGCACCAGCGAGGAAUAUUGCACAAUGGGGGGAACCCUGAUGCAGCAACGCCGCGUGGAGGAUGACGCAUUUCGGUGUGUAAACUCCUUUUAUAUGUCAAGAAAAUGACGGUAGCAUAUGAAUAAGCACCGGCUAACUCCGUGCCAGCAGCCGCGGUAAUACGGAGGGUGCAAGCGUUACUCGGAAUCACUGGGCGUAAAGGACGCGUAGGCGGGUUGGAAAGUCAGGUGUGAAAUCCUACAGCUUAACUGUAGAACUGCACUUGAAACUUCUAAUAUAGAGUAUGGGAGGGGGAGAUGGAAUUAGUGGUGUAGGGGUAAAAUCCGUAGAUAUCACUAGGAAUACCUAAAGCGAAGGCGAUCUCCUGGAACAUUACUGACGCUAAGGCGUGAAAGCGUGGGGAGCAAACAGGAUUAGAUACCCCCGUAGUC
rnacentral:rRNA from 1 species